rnacentral:lncRNA from 1 species
AUUGGCUCAAUUCUUCAAGAUUAUACUCAUGCUUAUAAAACUAAUAAAGAGAAUUCAAUGCUACACUCCAGAUGACCCUGCUUUGAGAGAGAUUUUGUUUUUCCUUCUGUACUCUUUGAUGCUCAAAUGGUCCCAGUUCAUUUACAUUGACUCCUGGACUUUCCCUCCAACAUGGAACCAAAGACAAGAAGAAUGUCUAUCAAGACACUGAAAGACAAGAAAACCUAACUUCAAAGAUGAUUUUUUUUCAUGGUGCUUUCAGAAAAAGAUCUUUAUUAAAAGAAGGAAAUCUGAGAAUUGAUUAUAUAAUUCAGUCAUUCCUGUCACACUCAACUAAAGAGAGUCUAGAGGCCAUGAGAAAACACUAAGGUUACAAACAUCUUUUCCAGGAACUACCUUACAAACCCAAUCCAGCACGAUUACCUGCUAUGAUUUUAAGAGUAGUUUUUCCUAUUAACUGCAGCCACUUGCCAUUCAGAAUUUUCCAA